rnacentral:misc_RNA from 1 species
GAUGUCGCCAUGGUGUUGAUUAUUUAAGUAUAUAUAUCAUUUGACCAUAAUAUAUUUUAUAUUUAAUUUUUGCGUAUUUAUAAUUUAAACGAGCCUGUUUACAUCGGCUCUACUGGCUGCUGUGCUGCUCUAGAGGAACAAAUAAUGGCGACUUUGGACUCCGACGUGGCCAUGGUUCCAGUCGACGACGCAUCCAGCAAUGCUGCUUCGUCCUCCUCUUCCUCCUCCAAGAAGCCCAAACGCUUUGAGAUCAAAAAGUGGAACGCCGUUGCUCUCUGGGCAUGGGGUAAUCUCUCCUACCCCUAAUCCUAACGCUUUCUGAUUACAGUUUGCCUUUAUUUUGUGUUUUUGCCUGUAUGUGUGCAUUUUCGGAUGUAUUAUGCGUUUAUUGUUGGAUUUUACUUGAUUCAGUGGCUAUAUUAUGUUGGGUUUUGUGAAUUUCAGAUAUUGUUGUGGAUAAUUGUGCAA